AGCGAACGCUGGCGGCAGGCCUAACACAUGCAAGUCGAACGAAGUCUUCGGACUUAGUGGCGGACGGGUGAGUAACACGUGGGAACGUGCCUUUAGGUUCGGAAUUACUUAGGGAAACUUGUGCUAAAACCGAAUGUGCCCUUCGGGGGGAAGAUUGAUAGCCUUUAGAGCGGCCCGAGUCUGAUUAGCUAGUUGGUUAGGUAAAGGCUCACCAAGGCGACGAUCAGUAGCUGGUCUGAGAGGAUGAUCAGCCACAUUGGGACUGAGACACGGGCCAAACUCCUACGGGAGGCAGCAGUGGGGAAUCUUGCGCAAUGGGCGAAAGCCUGACGCAGCCAUGCCGCGUAAAUGAUGAAGGUCUUAGGAUUGUAAAAUUCUUUCACCGGGGACGAUAAUGACGGUACCCGGAGAAGAAGCCCCGGCUAACUUCGUGCCAGCCGCCGCAGUAA
rnacentral:rRNA from 1 species